UACCGUAUACCUAUUUAUAUAAUAGAAAGAUUUAUCGCUAUUAGAUGAGCCUGCGUAGGAUUAGGUUGUUGGUAGAGUAAAAGCCUACCAAGCCUACGAUCCUUAGCUGGUCUGAGAGGAUGAUCAGCCACACUGGGACUGAGACACGGCCCAGACUUCUUCGGAAGGCAGCAGUGGGGAAUUUUGGACAAUGGGCGAAAGCCUGAUCCAGCAAUAUCACGUGAGUGAUGAAGGCUAUUUUGGUCGUAAAACUCUUUCGUCGAGGAAGAUAAUGACGGUACUCGAAGAAGAAGCCCUGGCAAACUCUGUGCCAGCAGCCGCGGUAAGACAGAGAGGGCUAGUGUUAUUCGGAAUGACUGGGCGUAAAGGGCACGAAGGCGGUGAACUAAGUUGAAAGUGAAAUCCCAAAGCUUAACUUUGGAACUGUUUUCAAAACUGGUUCUCUGGAGUUCGAUAGGGGAUAGUGGAAUUUCUAGUGUAGAAAUAAAAUUCAUAAAUAUUAGAAGGAACACCAGUAGCGAAGGCGACUAUCUGGAUCGAUACUGACGCUAAUAGUGCGAAAGCAUGGGGAGCAAACAGGAUUAGAGACCCUGGUAGUCCAUGCUGUAAACGAUGAGUGUUAAACGUUGGAAAAUGAUUUUUUUCAGUGUUGAAGCUAACGCAUUAAACACUCCGCCUGGGGAAUAUUGCCGCAAGGUUGAAACUUAAAGGAAUUGACGGGGAUUCGAACAAGCGGUGGAUCAUGUGGUUUAAUUCGAAACUACACGCAGAACCUUACCAGCUUUUGAUAUCUUUAAGAUAGAUAGUAGAAAUAUUAUUGAAAAUGUUAAAGACAGGUGCUGCAUGGCUGUCGUCAGCUCGUGCUGUGAAGUGUUGGGUUAAGUCCUAUAACGAGCGCAACCUUUAUUUUUAGUUGCUACCAUUUUCUAAAGAAUAAGGAAGUAUGAGCACUCUAAAAAAACUGCCAGCUAUAAACUGGAGGAAGGUGAAGAUGACGUCAAGUCCGCAUGGCCCUUAUAAGCUGGGCUACACACGUGGUACAAUGGUAAUUACAAUAGGAAGCAAUGAUGCAAGUCGGAGCCAAUCCUUAAAAAUUGCCUUAGUUCGGAUUGUUCUCUGCAACUCGAGAAUAUGAAGUAGGAAUCGCUAGUAAUCGCGUAUCAGAAUGGCGCGGUGAAUUUGUUCCCGAAUCUUGUACACACCGCCCGUCGCACCAUGGAAAUUGGUUUUAUCUGAAAUUAAAGUAUUAACUUUAUUUUUAUCAAUUUAUUCG
rnacentral:rRNA from 1 species